rfam:Camelus ferus unplaced genomic scaffold scaffold99732, whole genome shotgun sequence.
GAGGAUAUAGCUCAGUGGUAGAGUGCAUGCUGAGCAUGCAUGAGGUCCUGGGUUCAACCCCCAGUACCUUCA